rnacentral:rRNA from 1 species
AUUGAACGCUGGCGGCAUGCCUUACACAUGCAAGUCGAACGGCAGCACGGGUGCUUGCACCUGGUGGCGAGUGGCGAACGGGUGAGUAAUACAUCGGAACAUGUCCUGUAGUGGGGGAUAGCCCGGCGAAAGCCGGAUUAAUACCGCAUACGAUCCAUGGAUGAAAGCGGGGGACCUUCGGGCCUCGCGCUAUAGGGUUGGCCGAUGGCUGAUUAGCUAGUUGGUGGGGUAAAGGCCUACCAAGGCGACGAUCAGUAGCUGGUCUGAGAGGACGACCAGCCACACUGGGACUGAGACACGGCCCAGACUCCUACGGGAGGCAGCAGUGGGGAAUUUUGGACAAUGGGCGAAAGCCUGAUCCAGCAAUGCCGCGUGUGUGAAGAAGGCCUUCGGGUUGUAAAGCACUUUUGUCCGGAAAGA